CGAGAGCAUCCUGCCGGGCUGUAUCGCCGCCUGGUACGGCAACUGCUCCGCCCACAACCGUAAGGCUCUCACACUCGGCCCUCCAUGGAAUGAGUUUGACACGUGAUUUAGAGGGUUACUAGAAAUGAUCUAAUUAGCAGCUGAAGCCAGUGGAUCAAACAGUCCUAAAGAUGAGCCCAAGCCUGAGAUGCCACUCCAUUGAAGUAGAAAGACCACCAGUAAAGAAUCCAGUAUUUUAGGAUGCUGGUGGGGUAAAUGAGAACAAGAAAAAUGGGGCACCUGUGUAAUGAUCAUGCUUCUUGAUAUGCCACACCUAUAAUGUGGAAGAAUUAUCUUGGCCAAGGACAAAUGUUUACUAACAGGGAUGUACACAACAUUUGUCCGGAAUAAGGUUUUUGUGAGUAUGGAACAUUUCUUGGAUCAUUUAUUUCAGCUCAUGAAACAUGGGACCGAGACUUUGCAUGUUGCGUUUAUAUUUUUGUUCAGUGUAUAAAUGGUAAAUGAAGGGAAACAGGCAAACAUUGCACAUAGUAACUUGCAUGCAAUCAAAUGAAGUACAGUGAGCUACAAAAGUAUUGGGUCAGUGACACAUAUUUAGUUGUUUUGGCUCUGUACUUCAGCACUUUAGAUUUAAAAUGAUACAAUGACUAUGAGGUUAAAGUGCAGUCUGUCAGGUUUCAUUUGAGGGUAUUGUCAUCCGUAUCGGGUGAACUCUUUAGAAAUUGCAGCAUGUCUUGUACAUAGACCCCCCAUUUUAGGGGAGCAAAGGUUUUGGAACAAAUUCACAUGUGUAUUAAAGUAGUGUAAAGUUUAGUAUUUGGUCCCAUAUUCCUAGCACACAAUGAUUACAUUAAGCUUGUGACUCUACUUGUUGGAUGCAUUUGCUGUUUGUUUUGGUUGUGUCUCAGAUUAUUUUGUGCCCAAUAGAAAUUAAUGGUAAAUAAUGCAUUGUUACUUUUAUUCUGCACAUGAGUUGCGUUCCCAUGCAAAACUAGACAGAUCGCUAACAACUAAGUCUUCAAUAAAACUCCCAAGGCGUGACUUUUCUUGAAUUAAUAUAUUGAAAACGUUGUGAAAAAACAAAUAUUUUCCAAGGCUUAAGCGUGACAAGAAAUAACUACACUGAAAGACCUGCACCGUAGCAUUGUUUUUAGCUGCUUCUAUGCGUGCGGAACGAAUUCUCUACUUCCUGUUUGCGUACAGGCGAAGUACCAGAAAGCUCCACCAGGGGGCGAAUAACACCAUGGAACAAUGAAAAUCCAUUUGAACCAUUGACAUAAAAUUAUCUGUUACCUCCUAACAGGAUGGCAGCACAACUUUUAUUUUAAAUAAGAAUAUGUUUCUAGACACGUUUACCUGACUAUGGAUGCUACCUAUGAUUACUGAUAAUCCUGAAUGAAUCGUGAAUAAUGAUGAGUGAUUAAGUUAGACAGUCUGCACUUUAACCUCAGUCAUUGUAUGAUUUAAAAUCCUUUAAAAUUUAAGUGCUGAAGUAUAGAGUCAAAACAACCAAAAAAGGUUCACUGUCUCAAUGCUUUUGGAGCUCACUGUAUAAUGUGAUGAGCUGUGUGCUUUAUGAAUUUAUAGUACUUCAGAAAUGAGGGCAAUAUUUGUAUCAGAACAAUUUGAUGGGAAAGAAACAAGAGAUUAUCUUCUACUUUGAGGUAAAUAGCUUUGUGGAUUCUUACCCUUUCUCAGUAUUCAUGUCUCAUCUUUUAAAAUCUCAAUCAAUUUGUGAUGGUUGUUUUUGUUUGAAGCUGUAGUAUCAAUCACUUUGUGGUUGAAUGAUUCCUUUUCAGGUAUUUUCUGCAGAGCGCUUUAUGCCAACCCAAUGCACUUUCUGUUUUAAAUCGCAGCUGAAUGAAUGUCUUAUAUCAUUUCACUUGACCUAUGUCAAGGAAUUUGUACAGGUUAU